GCUCAAAUUUGAAAUCUGGCUUCGGCCCGAGUUGUAAUUUGUAGAGGAUGCUUUUGGCGAGGUGCCGUCUGAGUUCCCUGGAACGGGACGCCAGAGAGGGUGAGAGCCCCGUAUAGUCGGACACCGAACCUCUGUAAAGCUCCUUCGACGAGUCGAGUAGUUUGGGAAUGCUGCUCAAAAUGGGAGGUAUAUCUCUUCUAAAGCUAAAUACUGGCCAGAGACCGAUAGCGCACAAGUAGAGUGAUCGAAAGAUGAAAAGCACUUUGAAAAGAGGGUUAAAUAGCACGUGAAAUUGUUGAAAGGGAAGCGCUUGUGACCAGACUUGUGCCGGGCUGAUCAUCCAGUGUUCUCACUGGUGCACUCGACCCGGUUCAGGCCAGCGUCGGUUCUCGCAGGGGGAUAAAAGCUCUGGGAACGUGGCUCCUCCGGGAGUGUUAUAGCCCGCUGCUUAAUACC
rnacentral:rRNA from 1 species